rnacentral:rRNA from 1 species
GAUCCUGGCUCAGGAUGAACGCUGGCGGCGUGCUUAACACAUGCAAGUCGAACGAAGCACUUUAAUUGAUUUCUUCGGAAUGAAGUUUUUGUGACUGAGUGGCGGACGGGUGAGUAACGCGUGGGUAACCUGCCUCAUAGAGGGGGAUAACAGUUGGAAACGAUUGCUAAUACCGCAUAAGCCCACAGUACCGCAUGGUACAGAGGGAAAAGAAUCAUCGCUAUGAGAUGGACCCGCGUUUG